GAACUUUUAGCCUAGUGGACAUGGCAUCUGCCCGGUAAGCGGAACACUGUGGGUUCGAUUCCCAUUCCUGGACACA